rnacentral:rRNA from 1 species
UACGUAGGGGGCUAGCGUUGUCCGGAUUUAUUGGGCGUAAAGAGCGUGUAGGCGGCCAGGUAGGUCUGCUGUGAAAGACUCGAGGCUCAACCUCGAGACGUCGGCGGAAACCAUCUGGCUAGAGUCCGGAAGAGGAGAGUGGAAUUCCUGGUGUAGCGGUGAAAUGCGCAGAUAUCAGGAAGAACACCCGUGGCGAAGGCGGCUCUCUGGGACGGUACUGACGCUGAGACGCGAAAGCGUGGGGAGCGAACAGG